rnacentral:rRNA from 1 species
UACGUAGGAGGCAAGCGUUGUCCGGAAUUACUGGGUGUAAAGCGCGUGUAGGCGGCAGGCCAAGUCUGUGGUGAAAUCGCUCGGCUCAACUGGGCGGGGUCCAUGGAAACUGGUCAGCUGGAGGACGGUAGAGGUGAGUGGAAUUCCCGGUGUAGUGGUGAAAUGCGCAGAUAUCGGGAGGAACACCGGUGGCGAAGGCGGUUCUCUGGGCCUGUACUGACGCUGAGGAGCGAAAGCGUGGGGAGCGAACAGG